rnacentral:rRNA from 1 species
AGAUAAAGUAGUGCCGUCUUUGAACGGAACUUAGAGACAGGUGCUGCAUGGCUGUCGUCAGCUCGUGCCGUGAGGUGUUGGGUUAAGUCCCGCAACGAGCGCACCCUAUUUUUAGUUGCCAUCAGGUUAAGCUGGGCACUCUAAAGAGACUGCCGUCGAUAAGGCGGAGGAAGGUGGGGACGACGUCAAGUCAUCAUGGCCCUUAUGUCUAGGGCUACACACGUGCUACAAUGGGUUAUACAGAGGGCAGCUAGCUCGCGAGAGUCUGCGAAUCCCUUAAAGUAAUCCUCAGUUCGGAUUGUAGUCUGCAACUCGACUACAUGAAGUUGGAAUCGCUAGUAAUCGCAGGUCAGCAAAACUGCGGUGAAUACGUUCCCGGGCCUU